CACCUGCAUUUGUUGUAACCUCUAGAACUAAAAAGAGGAUCGGGAAUUAUCUUUUGCAUCUCAUAGAUAUGGCAUUACCUAGAGACUCAUCAUAUCUCUUUGGCUCAAUGCUUUCUGUCAGGUUCUCAAUGAUAAAGGCUAUGAUGGUACAACAGCUGAUAUAUGGUCUUACGGAGUUAUCCUUUUUGUUCUUAUGGAUGGUCACUUGUCGUUUGAAGAGUCUAAUCUUGGAGUUAUGCAUGAGAAUGUUCUAAUAAAGCUUGGAUGAAUCGCGGAGCGAAAAGAGAAGAAAAAUGGUGGAAAGCCGACAAAGAAUCCCGCAAGAAGGCAGCGAAGAAUGUUGUGCGCAAGACUCAGAGGCUAGAAAUGGGCUUAGAUGGAAGAAUUUCUCUUAAAAGAUGAAGUGGGCUUAGCAAGACCAAGGCCCAAACUCUAGACCAAACUCUAACACAAGUCCUAGACCAAGCCCAAAGCCCAGAUAAACUAAAGCCGUCCGAUUUGAUCUGUCAUCACCGCAUCCAACGUUCCUCCUCGCCAGACAUCAAAACCGCUGAUUCCGCCUAACACCAGAGCACCUAACCCUUUCCCUUCACCAAAACAGUCGAGCCAAACAUCCCCUUCCUCAAACUCCAUCGAUCUCUUAUCUCCUCCCUCACCUCUGCAACACCACCAUUCCCUGCCACCGCCGUUUCUCUGCCGCAGCCGCCUUCACAAUCCCUCCACAGCCACCCUAUUCCACCUAUAACCAAAACCCAUCACACCCAUCAUCCCCUAAUGUCGACCAACCCAUUUCCUUGACUUCAGAACCCCUAUUCUCUGUUAGGGUUUUGAAGUGGAAGAACUAGGUUGAGGGACAUGGACAUAGGAAACUGAAGAUGGAGCGUAGCAUCAUGGAGAGGAGCAACAACAGGAGCAGACAAUAUGGGUAAGCAAUUGUCCCAUCAAUUUCUCGAAUUUUGAUGUAACCCUAAACCCUAAUUUUACUGUUGCUAUUUGGGAAUUGGGGAAAUUGUAUGAACCCCAGAAUUUUGGGUAUAAAUUGAAUGUGUGUGUGGGUGUUGGAAGGGCAUGCCUGGGUUAGCCAGAGCUCAACCCUAGAGGACUGGAUUAGCCAGUGCCCUUCACUGGUAACUCUUGUUCGAUUUUAAGUUCAGUGCAUUCCCAUUUCAAUUGUUAA